rnacentral:piRNA from 1 species
UACCCAGAUUGUGACUCAGACUACAGGCUCU